UUUCAAUCGAUUCUUUGUUUACACUAUUGGGUUUGGAUUUCUUCUGAUUCUUCAUUUCUUUCUAUUUGGUUUAAUUAGAUUGUGAAAUUAGAGGAAUAUUUUGUGGGUUGGAGGCUCUUUUGAUCAUACUCAAAUUUCAUGAUUAUAUUAUGCAAUCCCAGCCUGGGUUUGGGGUGUUUGACUUUUAAUGAUUAUAAAUUCUUUUGGUAAUUAUGAAUAUCUGAGAACAUGUGAAUCUCUGCAUAAUUUUGCUUUGCAAGAAAUGAAUGAAUAUAUGAUCAUCCCAUCUUGGGAUUAGAGAGCUGCAGCCUGUAGUUGUUUGUCUUUUCAAUUACUCAACCACUAAACUAAACUACCCAAAAUCGUGGUUUUUUUUUUUUUUACUUUUUCUUCUUCCAAAGGUUGACUCCCCAACCCUAAUGCCCCGGCCUCGCAUAGCAUGUGGGAGAAUCUGUUCACUUUUGACAUAAUUCUCACACUGUGGCUGCCGAGUUUCGAACCUUGGUUUCUUCUAUCAAAUAUUACCUACUGAACCACUGAGCUAAGCUCGUGCGGACAAUGAUGGCUUUUUCUUUAUGGACUAGUAGUUGUAUCUUCUAGAAUAAACUAUUUGGAUUUGCAUAAGUAUAUCCAUUGGAUUGCAGGAAAAAAAA